rnacentral:rRNA from 1 species
UGAGAAUGCCGGAAUGAGUAGCGAGAAUUAUGUGAGAAUCAUAAUGGCCGAAAGACUAAGGUUUUAGAAGGAAGGUUCGUCCGCUUCUAGUUAGCCGGGAGCUAAGGCGAGGCCGAAAGGCGUAGUCGAUGCACAUACGGUUGAGAUUCCGUAGCCACCUUAAAUUUAAACUAAGGGACACAUUGAAAGGGAAUAACCCAGGCGUUGGUUGACCUGGGCGUAAGGGAACGAAAAUAAGUAGUGAAGUAUUCUUGGACAGUGGCGAGAAAAGCUUAGUGUAUAUUAUUAGGGUGCCCGUACUGCAAACCGACACAGGUAGUCAGGAAGAGAAUUCUAAGGCCAUCGGGAGAAGCGUUGUUAAGGAACUCGGCAAAUUGACCCCGUAACUUCGGAAUAAGGGGUGCUCACGCGAGUGAGCCGCAGUGAAUAGGUCCAGGCAACUGUUUAUCAAAAACACAGCUCUCUGCUAAAUCGUAAGAUGACGUAUAGGGGGUGACACCUGCCCGGUGCUGGAAGGUUAAGAGGAGGAGUGCAAGCCCCGAAUCGAAGCCCCAGUAAACGGCGGCCGUAACUAUAACGGUCCUAAGGUAGCGAAAUUCCUUGUCGGGUAAGUUCCGACCCGCACGAAUGGUGUAAUGAUCUGGACACUGUCUCAACAACGCACCCGGCGAAAUUGUAGUACCGGUGAAGAUGCCGGUUACCCGCGGCAAGACGGAAAGACCCCAUGGAGCUUUACUGUAACUUAAUAUUGGGUCUCGGUACUUUAUGUACAGGAUAGGCGGGAGACUUGGAAACUAGCACGCCAGUGUUAGCGGAGUCAUCCUUGGGAUACCGCUCUUAAGGUAUUGAGAUUCUAACCUGCAGCCUUGAAUCAGGUUGGGGGACAUUGUUAGGUGGGCAGUUUGACUGGGGCGGUCGCCUCCAAAAGAGUAACGGAGGCGUUCAAAGGUUGGCUCAGCAUGGACGGAAACCAUGCUUUAGAGUAUAAACGCAUAAGCCAGCCUAACUGCGAGACUGACGGGUCGAGCAGUAACGAAAGUUGGAGUUAGUGAUC